CUACGGGAGGCAGCAGUGGGGAAUUUUGCGCAAUGGGCGAAAGCCUGACGCAGCAACGCCGCGUGAGGGAUGAAGGCCUUCGGGUCGUAAACCUCUUUCAGCAGGGACGAAACAAGACUGUACCUGCAGAAGAAGCCCCGGCUAAAUACGUGCCAGCAGCCGCGGUAAUACGUAUGGGGCAAGCGUUAUCCGGAUUUAUUGGGCGUAAAGAGCGCGUAGGCGGCUUGUUAAGUCAGAUGUGAAACCUGGGGGCUCAACCCGCAGCGUGCAUCUGAAACUGGCAGGCUUGAGUCUGGUAGAGGAAAGUGGAAUUCCCAGUGUAGCGGUGAAAUGCGCAGAUAUUGGGAGGAACACCAGUGGCGAAGGCGGCUUUCUGGGCCACGACUGACGCUGAGGCGCGAAAGCUAGGGGAGCAAACAGGAUUAGAUACCCCUGUAGUCCA
rnacentral:rRNA from 1 species